rnacentral:rRNA from 1 species
UGCAUCGAACGAAUCCCUAGGGGCUUGCUCUUAGGGGAAAGUGGCGAAAGGGGCAGUAAGGCGUGGGUAACCUACCCUGGGGACCGGGAUAGCCCUCCUAACGGAGGGGUAAUACCGGGCGAUGUCGCGGCCGCGCAUGUGGCCGCGAUGAGAUGAAUUUCGCCUCGGGAGGGGCUCACGUGGUAUUAGCUUGUUGGUGAGGUAACGGCUCACCAAGGCCGAGAUGCCUAGCGGGUGUGAGAGCACGACCCGCGCCACUGGCACUGAGACACUGGCCAGACUCCUACGGGAGGCUGCAGUCGAGGAUCUUCGGCAAUGGGCGCAAGCCUGACCGAGCGACGCCGCGUGUGCGAUGAAGGCCUUCGGGUUGUAAAGCACUGUCGAGGGGGAGGAAGCCGAAAGGUUGACCUAUCCCUGGAGGAAGCACGGGCUAAGUUCGUGCCAGCAGCCGCGGUAAGACGAACCGUGCGAACGUUGUUCGGAAUCACUGGGCUUAAAGGGCGCGUAGGCGGGCUGUCAAGUCCGGGGUGAAAUCUUUCGGCUUAACCGGAAAAGUGCCUUGGAUACUGGCAGUCUGGAGGGAGGUAGGGGUAUGUGGAACUUCCGGUGGAGCGGUGAAAUGCGUUGAUAUCGGAAGGAACGCCGUGGCGAAGCGACGUACUGGCCUCUUCUGACCUGAGCGCGAAGCUAGGGAGCGAACGGGAUAGAUCCCCGGUCUAGCCCUAAACAGGGUACAGGUAGGAUACUGGGUUUACUGCACAAAAGUGCUAAUACACCGCCUGGGGAGAGGCAAGGCUGAAACU